rnacentral:tRNA from 1 species
GCCCGGUUAGUUCAGUCGGUAGAGCAUCAGACUUUUAAUCUGAGGGUCAAGGGUUCAAGUCCCUUAUUGGGCG